rnacentral:rRNA from 1 species
GACGAACGCUGGCGGCGUGCUUAACACAUGCAAGUCGAACGGAGUGGCGAACGGGUGAGUAACACGUGGGUGACCUGCCCUGCACUUCAGGAUAAACCUGGGAAACUGGGUCUGAUACCGGAUCGUGUGGGAUGGGCCCGCGGCCUAUCAGCUUGUUGGUGGGGUAAUUGCCUACCAACGCGGCGACGGGUAGCCGGCCUGAGAGGUGGGACGGACACAAUAGGACUACGACACGGAGCAGACUCGUACGGGAGGCAGCGGGGGGGAAUAUUGCACAAUGGGCGGACGCCUGAGGCAGCGACGCCGCGUGGGGGAUGACGUCCUUCGGGUGGUAAACUACGUUCACCAUCGACGCGGUAGAUGGAGAAGAAGCACCGGCUAACUACGUGCCAGCAGCCGCGGUAAUUC